rnacentral:rRNA from 1 species
UACGUAGGGGGCUAGCGUUGUCCGGAAUCAUUGGGCGUAAAGAGCUCGUAGGCGGUUUGUCGCGUCUGCCGUGGAAGUCCGGGGCUCAACUCCGGAUCUGCGGUGGGUACGGGCAGACUAGAGUGAUGUAGGGGAGACUGGAAUUCCUGGUGUAGCGGUGGAAUGCGCAGAUAUCAGGAGGAACACCAAUAGCGAAGGCAGCUCGCUGGGACGAUACUGACGCUAAGGCGCGAAAGCGUGGGGAGCGAACAGG